ACUGGGGUUUCAUUACUUCACUCAGAGUUUCAGUAGACGUAAACUGUGUUUGAUUUGUGUUUUGAUUUCCAGGAAAUGAAAGUAAAUGAUUUUACUGACAAAUGCAUCUUUUCAAUGAUUUAGACACAAACGAGGCCCACACUUCAGCAGACAAAUCUUUUUCCGUUUAUCUGCCCGGUGUUGUGAUCAUCUUUAUAACUGGAGUUAUCGUGGGAUUUAUCUACUGGAGGAAAAGUAAUGGGUCAGGAACAUCUGGAGUGUCUGUACCUGAAAAUCCCAACGGUUUGGAUGACGAUGAGCCAGAUCAGCCCUAUACAAACCUUCAGCAGCCAUCGAGUGAUUCCUACCAGACUAUCAUCUCAGUGAACCAUCAACACGACAACAAGACACGCUCAGCAAGAAGCACAG